rnacentral:lncRNA from 1 species
CAAAACAGUAUGCAGAGUUUUCAUGGUGUUGUUAACUGAUACCAAGCCAUAUUUGAAGAAAACGAUGAUGCUUCAGACAGCCUCGCUCGUGAUUUCAUCCUUAAGAUAAGCGAAGAAGGCUCUUUGUCGAGUUUUCUUGAUCAAUGGCUGCAUCCACAGAAAUGAAGCAUAAAUUAGUAACUGAAGCAUCAUUUUCUAGAUAAGAAGAUAGGCCCUGCAUUUCUCUAUCAUAUUUUCUCUCGAGUUCAUGGUGGAGACGACAUAGCAGAUUCGCGUAUUUGAUGAUCUGGAACAGAGGAGUAGUUGAUAGUAUGAUACGAAUCAAGAUGAAAACUGCUGCACUAAUUAUAUGCCCAGAAAUCUUCACUUUUGUUUAUGGCUGUAAAGUUUGUAUAUGCUAUGCAGUGUGUAUAUUUAAGAGUCUCAACUGAGAGACAUCACAUAUUUGUUGCAAGCAAUUCAUCAAGAAACAAAAGAGCUGAGUUCUAAACGAAAUUCGACCUGUUCAUCUGUGCAGGUAGCUAUUCGUCAUCGUGCAACUGCUACUCCGGUCUCCACAGAAAGAAGAAGCCAUCGCCAUCCUCAUGUUUGCCGCCUCUUCACGUUGGCUAACUGCAAUCUUUAUGCAUAUAAACAGCUCUCUAAAGUGAAUCUCGUCCUCGUCUGCAGUUGAGGCAAUCAUGCAGCAUUAGAUCUGAGACGGGUUAACGGAGAAAUUAGAUUAUACAAUGAAGGGAUUGGGACUAGCAGAGAUGAAUAGGAAGUGUUUUUGGCACUACCUUUUUUAACAGUGAAAAAUGUGUGCUUUAUCUUUACUGAUCUUGUUAAACAUCUUCAUUGUUAGCUUUCCUUCAACUUAUGAAAACAUAUAUAAUGUCUGUCUGUGUCAAUAUCAAUCUCAAUCAAGUUACUCAUCACACACACAC